UCAUCGUCGUCAUGAUGAUGAUGACGAUGAUGAUGAUGAUGAUGAUCAUCAUCAUCAUCAUCAUCAUCAUCAUUAUCAUUAUCA
rnacentral:pre_miRNA from 1 species